UUUAGCUAUAUAUUCUAUAUUUAAUGAGAUUUGUAUUAUUUGAUAAAUCCCUAUUUGCCAUAUGCCAUCAAACAAAUAUAUUUAUUGUAAUUCUAAUAUUAUCUAAUAUAUUACUCAUCAAACUGGGAUACUUUCUUUUUCGCAUUAGAUAAGUGAUAAUAAAAUAGUGACCCCACCCGCGCAAUCGGUAUACGCUGAUAGAGCACCAGUGAAGGAUGAUAGACGAGGAUGAAACAGAUAACGACAUUUUACCGGAUUCAAUGGACAGACAUUUCAAGAAUCACCAUCACGAAAGCGUAAUGAGGAAUAACGAGUCUGAAGAAUGGAUACAUCAUCAUAGUCACGUUCCUCAGGGCUGCAGAACGUGAUCGUAUUGUGUGUCAUUUAUCAAGAAGAAAAAAUAUAAUUUAAUGAUUGGCUCUGUAUUGCACUGAAACAUUUUUUUAUACACCUAAUAAGAUUGUAAUGAGUCCAUUUUUGUAUAAGGAAUAUUUAUUGAAAAAUGCCAAUGUAGAUACCUUAUCGACUUAGACAUCAAAAUAGAAAUAUUUGAAAUUAUUAGUAUGUAUUAGAUACAUAUGUGAGUAUAUAAGAUGUAUAUAUUAACAUAUUACUACAACUUUGAAUUGCUUGCAUAAUUCUAUUUCGGAGCUUGAAGUUUGAUUUAUGACAGUGAAAUUGUUGGGUUCGUGACACAGUGAAUUUGUGAUACUCCUUCUAUUGCAUGAGUUCAUAGGCUACGGAAUACUAUGAUUAAAUUAUAACUUAAAAUUGUGUUUCCCAAAACAAAAACAGCUUCAGUUAUAGCAAAACCAGUUAUUUUAAUUUGAAAACUAAAUAACAAUGUCAUUUUAACAAAAUUUCUAUAUUGCUCCCAUAGAAAUUUUAUCAAAAUCUUUAAGUAUAUCCUUUCCGAUAAAAAAAGAAUUUUUCAAAUCGGUUUACAAUUAGCGAAGUUAUUAGGUAACAAAUAUAAUAAAAUGCAACCGAAUAAAGAACCUCG